CACGUAGGGGGCAAGCGUUGUCCGGAAUCAUUGGGCGUAAAGAGCUCGUAGGCGGCUCAGUAAGUCGGGUGUGAAACCUCCAGGCUCAACCUGGAGACGCCACCCGAUACUGCUGUGGCUAGAGUCCAGUAGGGGAGUGUGGAAUUCCCGGUGUAGCGGUGAAAUGCGUAGAGAUCGGGAGGAACACCAGAGGCGAAGGCGGCGACCUGGACAGGUACUGACACUCAACUACGAAAGCGUGGGGAGCAAACAGG
rnacentral:rRNA from 1 species